GUGUCAGCCGCCGCGGUAAUACGUAGGGUGCAAGCGUUGUCCGGAAUUACUGGGCGUAAAGAGUUCGUAGGCGGUUUGUCGCGUCGUUUGUGAAAACCAGCAGCUCAACUGCUGGCUUGCAGGCGAUACGGGCAGACUUGAGUACUGCAGGGGAGACUGGAAUUCCUGGUGUAGCGGUGAAAUGCGCAGAUAUCAGGAGGAACACCGGUGGCGAAGGCGGGUCUCUGGGCAGUAACUGACGCUGAGGAACGAAAGCGUGGGUAGCGAACAGGAUUAGAAACCCCCGUAGUCC
rnacentral:rRNA from 1 species